UACGUAGGCAGCAAGCGUUGUUCGGAGUUACUGGGCGUAAAGGGUGUGUAGGCGGUUGGAUGAGUGUGGUGUGAAAUCUCCCGGCCUAACUGGGAGGGUGCGCUACAAACUGUCUGACUAGAGUAUGGGAUGGGAGAGUGGAAUUCCUGGUGUAGCGGUGAAAUGCGUAGAUAUCAGGAGGAACACCAAUGGCGAAGGCAGCUCGCUGGGACGGUACUGACGCUGAGACGCGAAAGCGUGGGGAGCAAACAGG
rnacentral:rRNA from 1 species